GACAGAGUCAAUAAACAAAGGUUGAAGUUUGCAGACAGGUGAAAAGAACGACAAAGGAGGGAGUGAGUUGAAGUACUGGUAGAUACGUCAGGCAUUGGUUGAAGUAAUAGAAAUGACCCAUUAAUGUAAGCAGAUAAUGAAUAGCUCAUAGAUCAAAGGGAAGUUUGAAGAAUGAGACUUAAAAAAUAGGUAGGAACCAAGAGGGAUCAGACAGCCAUGAUUGGCAUGAGCAGUCAGGACACCCUGCUGGAAUGACUGUUGGAGCUGCCCAGGGGCCCCACUGGAUCUGCCCUGUCUGGAUGCUGGUGCUGUGAAUACUUUCUAAACUCUCCAGUUACUUCUGGUGGUCAAGAGUUGAGACCCCAGGUGGGAAAAUCCAAUUGGCUAAACCUUGGUCAUGUGUUCAAUCUCUACCUCCAGGAAGAAAGAGGAAGUGUCUGUCCCCUUCAGCUCCCAUACUGGUAAUGAAUCUCCACCUCCCAGCGGAAUCUCAUUACAGAAAUUCUCCAUAAUUGGAAAAGUACUCAAGACAACCCUGGAAGUACAUGUUGAAGAGGUCAGAGCCUCUGUCUACCUGGGUCCUGAACUGUUGAGCUGGAGUAGACUCUUCCCACAUGAACCACUACCAACUGGACUUGAUAUGAGUGAGAGAUAAAUGUUAUGGUAAAUCGCUGAGAUUUGGGGGUUUAUCUAUUAAUGCAUCCUAUGUUACCUUAGCUAACACAUGAUAUGAGAAAUUUUUUUUUAUUAGGGACUAUAGUGGUUAAGAAUGGAGGUAAAUGGGAUUACAAUCCCAGCUCUGCCACUUACUAGCUUUAUGACUUUCAGCGAGUCACUAAAUCUGUCUAAGCCUCAGUUUCUUCUGCUAUAAAAUGGGAAUAAUAGUAUUAUUCUGUGGUGACAUUGUAAGAAAUUAGUAGACAUAGUUCUAUACAUAACAUCUAUAUGAAUAAUUCCAUACAUAAUUGUUAUACUAAUACUAUAUGUAAUUAGUUGAGGACUCAAUAACUGUUAGACAUUUUUGUUACUACUCAGCUAGGAGGUAGAUUAGGUCUACUUUCACUGUGUGCUAUUUUAAGUAGGUAGUGUCUCGUAACUGUAAGGUGCAUCAGUGUAAGUUGAGCAAAGUACUAUUUUUAGAUAAAUGGAACAUCAUUAUGUAGUCAAUCACAUGGCCAUUGAACUGUCUUCCUGGGGUUGUCAUCAGAUUUUUCCACUGCUGUUACUGGAAAAUAAUGUGAUUGAUUUCAUCUUCUUAGGGAAACUUCAGCAUGCAGUUGAAAGGGUGAAUAGGGACAGGACUUUAUAGACCAUAGCCUCACCUGACUCCCCUAGUUAGGACUGAUGACUCCUUUCUUGCCCUCGUCAUACACUUGACACUAUAGGACAUUUGCUUAGUGCCCAGCUAGCCUUGUUA
rnacentral:lncRNA from 1 species